UACGUAGGGGGCAAGCGUUGUCCGGAUUUAUUGGGCGUAAAGAGUGUGUAGGCGGCCAUACAGGUCCGUUGUGAAAACUGGAGGCUUAACCUCCAGACGUCGAUGGAAACCGUAUGGCUAGAGUCCGGAAGAGGAGAGUGGAAUUCCUGGUGUAGCGGUGAAAUGCGCAGAUAUCAGGAAGAACACCCGUGGCGAAGGCGGCUCUCUGGGACGGUACUGACGCUGAGACGCGAAAGCGUGGGGAGCGAACAGG
rnacentral:rRNA from 1 species